AAAGAGCCCAAACCAAAGAUUUAUCUUUGGGGUUGCGGACAGAACAUUAACGAGAGGUCAUGAUUAACCGAACACAACUGGAAAGUUGGACCGUAGGAGGUAAUAGUCCUGUAGGUGAAAGUCAAGAUAAUCAAGUUCUGAUCCAGAGUACCACGAGACACGUGAAACCUUGUGGGAAGCAGGGAGGACCACCUCCCAAGGCUAAAUACUACCUGAUGACCGAUAGUGAAGCAGUACCGUGAGGGAAAGGUGAAAAGAACCCCGGGAGGGGAGUGAAAUAGAACCUGAAACCGUGUGCCUACAACCGGUCAAAGCCCCUUAUGAGGGUGAUGACGUGCUUUUUGUAGAACGAGCCAACGAGUUACGGUAUGUAGCAAGGUUAAGUACUUAAGGUACGGAGCCGAAGGGAAACCGAGUCUUAAUAGGGCGACUAGUUGCAUGCCGUAGACCCGAAACCGGGUGACCUAUCCAUGGCCAGGUUGAAGCGAGGGUAAAACUUCGUGGAGGACCGAACCACGUUGCUGUUGAAAAAGCAUGGGAUGAGCUGUGGAUAGCGGAGAAAUUCCAAUCGAACUCGGAGAUAGCUGGUUCUCCCCGAAAUAGCUUUAGGGCUAGCGUCGGAUAUGUGUAGUGGAGGUAGAGCACUGAAUGGGCUAGGGGGCAUAUCGCUUACCGAACCUUAUCAAACUCCGAAUGCCAUAUACAUUAAGUCCGGCAGUCAGACUACGAAUGAUAAGAUCCGUGGUCAAAAGGGAAACAGCCCAGACCGUCAGCUAAGGUCCCAAAGUGUAAGUUAAGUGGAAAAGGAUGUGGGAUUUCUAAGACAACUAGGAUGUUGGCUUAGAAGCAGCCACUCAUUUAAAGAGUGCGUAAUAGCUCACUAGUCGAGAGAUCCUGCGCCGAAAAUGUACCGGGGCUAAACUUACCACCGAAGCUACGGAUUUGCAAGUAAUUGCAAGUGGUAGGGGAGCGUCGUAAUCGGGCUGAAGUCGUACCGGAAGGAGCGGUGGACUGAUUACGAGUGAGAAUGUUGGCAUUAGUAGCGAGAUGUAGGUGAGAAUCCUACAGGCUGAAUAUCUAAGGUUUCCUCAGGAAGGCUCGUCCGCUGAGGGUUAGUCGGGACCUAAGCCGAGGCCGAAAGGCGUAGGCGAUGGACAAUCGGUUGAUAUUCCGAUACCACUACCAUCGUUAUUAUCGAGGGUGUGACGGAGAAGGAUAGUGUGUGCUAGCGAUUGGAAAUGCUAGUCUAAGCGUUUAGGGAGUUACGGUAGGCAAAUCCGCUGUAACAAUUCUGAGGCGUGAUGGGGAAGGUCAUUAAGACCGAAGUACAUGAUUCCAUGCUUCCAAGAAAAGCAUCUAGAGAGAGAAGUAGUGCCCGUACCGCAAACCGACACAGGUAGAUGAGGAGAGAAUCCUAAGGCCGGCGGAAGAAUUGCAGUUAAGGAACUAGGCAAAUUGACCCCGUAAGUUCGCGAGAAGGGGUGCCUGCGAGAGCAGGCCGCAGAGAAUAGGCCCAAGCAACUGUUUAGCAAAAACACAGGUCUCUGCUAAAGCGUAAGCUGAUGUAUAGGGGCUGACGCCUGCCCGGUGCUGGAAGGUUAAGGGGAACACUUAGCGCAAGCGAAGGUGUGAACUUAAGCCCCAGUAAACGGCGGCCGUAACUAUAACGGUCCUAAGGUAGCGAAAUUCCUUGUCAGGUAAGUUCUGACCCGC
rnacentral:rRNA from 1 species